AUUCAUGCCUUGCAAAGGGGAGGAGCCUGCCCUCUUGAGCUCUUGUGGUGACCUGGGAAUCAAUGUGUGAGGUGGUGCUAUGUAGCAGGAACCCCUCUUGCUUUGCAAAUAGUUUUUUGUUUGUUUUCCUUUUUGCCCAAUAGAGCCCUGCUCUACUGACCCUUCAAUGUGCCCGUGUGCCUAAAUAUUCCUGGUCGUGUGAAAAGAACCCAGGUAUUAGCUGAACUAAGGAGCACAAUUCUGCAACAUUUUGGCACCCAAACACGGGGCUUGAGAAAUGAAUGCAAUUGGAGAAACUGGUUGUUUUACCAGGCGUUGAUUGGAAAUGUGUGCUUCCCUUUAAGCAGUCAAGCUCAACUUGCAGAACUGAUGGGAACCCCUUGGGAAAACUGGCCUCAAAUGUUUGUCUACACAGUCCACAUACAGGGUUCUUAACCUGCGACUGACCCUGCUUGUGCCUGUGAACCAACCAACAAUCUCUGGCUGCAGCUCAGAAAGGACAAAAGAGAAUGGUGGACUGGAGCCCAAAAUGCACACUGGAGGAAGUGGAUGGAGCCACGUGGAUGUCAUGCCUUAUGCAGGGGAGGAGCCUGCUCUCUUCAGCUCCUGUGGUAAUGUGGGAAUCGAUCUGUGAGGAAACACUUUCUGAAAAUGUCAGAACUCUUGAAAACAUGGAUGAGGAAAAGCAUAAGUACUGCUUUAUGCUUUUCUUAUGAAUUUUAAAAGAUGUAAUUUAAAGGUACUUUAAAGUGAUAUUUGUGCCCUUGUAACUGAUUCAAAGUAGACUGCUAAGGACAAUAAGUAAUAAGAGUCUACAAAUAUCAGUAAAUUAUGAGAAAAAACGGUCUAAUGGUA
rnacentral:lncRNA from 1 species